UACGAAGGACCCGAGCGUUAUCCGGAUUUAUUGGGUUUAAAGGGUGCGUAGGUGGAUUUACAAGUCAGUGGUGAAAUCUCCCAGCUUAACUGGGAAACUGCCAUUGAAACUGUUUAUCUUGAGUACAUUUGAGGCGGGCGGAAUGUGUCAUGUAGAGGUGAAAUUCUUAGAUAUGACACAGAACACCAAUUGCGAAGGCAGCUCGCUAAACUGUAACUGACGCUGAGGCACGAAAGCGUGGGGAUCAAACAGG
rnacentral:rRNA from 1 species